GGUGUCACUCUGUAAUGCAGGCUGGACAUGAACUCACUAUGUAGCCCAGGCUGGCCUUGAACUCAUGGCGAUCCUCCUGCCUGAACCUCCUCAAUGCUGGGAUUACAGGCAUGUGCCACCAUGCCCG
rnacentral:miRNA from 1 species